AGACGAUCGUCUGCAAAGAGAAGACUCGAGUUUCGAGAGAAUUAGCUCGGUGACACGGCGGUACGAGUGUGAGAUUGCGCGUAAUUUCGAAUCCGCUCUGCUUCGCUCGAGAUCUUCGAACAGGAGAGUGCGGAGUUUCUUAGAAACAGUCGUCGAUUGCUUCGGAUCUCCUUCUUAAAAUGUGCUGUCAAUUUUCAAUCUCCGCGUAGAAACUGAAUGUAGGACAAAGUUUUGAAAAUUGGGAAAAAUCCCUUGGGAAUCUGCGAAAAUUCUUGGAACUUCGUAUCUUCUUGAAGACACUGGAAAUACCAGUUUCCGGUAUAGUUCUUAAUUUCGAUGGCAUUGUUUCCUCGUUAGUUUUCGCCGAAUGAUUCGCAUGAUCGCACCGGGCCUGGUAUUGCAGGGGAAUCGAAAUUAAUUGGAUCGGCGCUUUGACCGAGCGAAACUCGUAGGUGCGCUAUGUGCUACGAGCUUAAGAAUUCGAUUAGGGUAGAAAAUGUGGCAAAUGAGGGACACUUCGAAAGUUUCGUUCUGCAAGUCGCAAGUGUGUCUAUAGUUGAAAGGGAACCGAUUUCGAAGUGGGUUGCUAUGUUCGUGGCAAAAGUAACGAGGAGUAGAAAACUAUUUUUUAUUACGCGACCUCUGGAAUCGAGUUAGCGCGAUCGCGGAUCGAUACGCGACUGGUUCUCGACGCGUUUCGUCCUCCAAUUAAACAGCACGUUAACGCCCCGCUUCAUUUCUCUUUAUUCUUCCCCUUUUUCUAUUUUUUCUCCCGUCAAAACGCUCGAACAGAAGACUGCCGUUUGAAUGCACGCGCGAUUAGUGCGGGUGAAAUUGGUGAUCGGAUCACGCUUGUCAUUAGCAACCAUCGAACCGUACCGUAUGAGAUUUAAACGUGCAAGUGCCGAUGGCUUCGUGACAGACCCUCUCUUUCGUUCGAUAUCCGAAAAUAAUCCGACACCGUUCCGUAUCCGUGCAUUAUCGCGAUUAAAUUAGAAAAACGGGUCGCUACGAACGGAGAAGACUACGAUGCCGUGCGAUUUUGAAAAACGACUGACGGCGAGAGAUCGAUUUCGACAGUUUGCUUAGUUGCGAAUGUAAAGCGACGCGAUGACGAAUCUUGUAAACGCGUAAAGAUGGUUUAAAAAGUUUGCCGCGCUCAAGGCCACGGGCUUGGCGUAUCGAUCUGCAGGUUCCCUGGAUCGGGAGCAAGAACGCGGCAAUAAAGAAUUGCGGCAGUGGCGCGCCGUUGGAAUUGAGGUUAGCGUGCCGCCAAACCUCUGGAUCCUUUCUUCGUUUUCUGGUAUUGACCGGGUGGGCGCUCGUGGCGUGCUACGCCGUCGCCAUCUUUCGGAGCUUCGACUCACCGUUCGGAAAAAUGAGUUUGGGCGGGAGGGAGGUGCACGACUGACGCGAGUGAUUGACGAUCGGGAUGUGCGUUCCCAUCGUGAGGAACUCGGCUUCGUAAUCGCUUCAGCGAAGAAAAGCACGCACCAGUAAUCUGCAACCGAUUGUGUGCAAAGAAAUUUCGCGACAUCUCGCGAGGUGAACGAACGCUGACAAUGUCGAGGCGAAGGCGCGACAACGGUGUUCCGUGCACUCGAGUGGAGAGGAUUGGGCGAAUCGAAACAACAACGAACUCGGAUACGUCGCACGACUCGUCUGAUCGACGCGAGGGUGAACGAUCUCCGUGAAGGCAAAUGUCCGAGAUGGUUGGAUCAUCGGUCUCGCGGUCACAUACACACGAAGGGAGACGUUUGUAACCGUCGCGAGUGAGUUCGUGCGAGGCUGGAUGGUCGCCAGCUCGAUCGACACGGACAUCGGACGGCGAUUGGACCAGGAGCGUAUCGUUCGACGGAAGCAGAGGAAUCGGAAAAAGUAGGAUAUCGAAGGGCCGAGAAGACGAUAGACGAGCGACUCGCCAGAUCACGAACUGCAAGCGAGAGGAAGAAGAA